UACGUAGGGUGCGAGCGUUGUCCGGAAUUACUGGGCGUAAAGAGCUCGUAGGUGGUUUGUCGCGUUGUUCGUGAAAACUCACAGCUUAACUGUGGGCGUGCGGGCGAUACGGGCAGACUGGAGUACUGCAGGGGAGACUGGAAUUCCUGGUGUAGCGGUGGAAUGCGCAGAUAUCAGGAGGAACACCGGUGGCGAAGGCGGCAUCCUGGACCGCAUUGACGCUGAGGAGCGAAGCCAGGGGAGCAAACGGG
rnacentral:rRNA from 1 species